AGAUGCCCGCGUUAGGGAUUGCAGCGGCAUCCUUUUUUGCCAAUAAAAGCAAAAAAGAUAUAGCGUAAAGCCAGACCCGAC
rfam:Arenitalea lutea strain CGMCC 1.12213 genome assembly, contig: Ga0079849_101